GCGGCAGGCAGCACGGCCGUCAGGUCGUAGAUGCCCAGCGUGAAGAAGAGCAGGAAGCCGAGCAGGUGACUCCAGAUGUUGACGGUCUCGUUGGAGAGGAUGAAGAGGCUGCGAGGAGACACAACGCGGGACAGGCGGUCCUGUGCCCUGCAGAACUCUGCCAAUGUUUUUUGUCUCAUUAAACCACGUGGUGUGACAGAUGUGAAGAAUUUCCCCACGGCAGAGGUGUGUAAUGUGAAGUAAAAGCGAAGGUGUCCUGGGCUGAUGACACAAUUCAAUUUUGAGGGGCAGUCCUUCACCAGGCUCACAGAGGGAACUUGACACAGCCUUGCUGCAAUUUAUACCAGCUGCAACAUAGAUACUUAUAUGGAAAAUCUGGGGAUGGGCUUGGCCCGGUGCUGCUGCUGCCUCUUGCAGAGAAGUUAGGGCUUGUGGCAUGGAGUCUUGUCACCAACUACAAGAAUCAAAGGUGGUCUCCAAGGGAAGAAAAUGAAGCAUUGACAAUGGUGAGGACCUGCCUGCUGCCGGAUUGUUCCCAACAGCCUGUUCCUGACUCCUUGUGAAUGCCUCUGUGACAAAAUGGCAACCUUUACCCUGACAAGACAACUCUUAAGUGGGAAGGUGUUUGCUCCUAACCUGAGCUCUAAGGGAGAUGGUUGUGGGACACCAUGUCCACAUUAGUCUGUGGGAGGAAAUGAUGGAUUAUUUGCACUGUGAUCUACUUUUUAAACCCCUCUGAAGAAGGCAGUUCUACCAGAGGUUGCCACUCCCUCUUUCAGCAUCCCACCUUCAGGACGUGUCUUUCCUGAGCUUCCAGGUCACCCAGGCAAUCCUGUGGGUUUUUGUUCUGCGCUGCUUCUUCUGUGCUGGUUCCUGCUCAGGCAGCAAUGCACUGCAAACGAAGCUCCAAAGUUACUUGAGUAAUGCGGUCCUGAACCACCUUCCCUACAGCUGAGUUUGUGCACUGAGCACCCAUAGCUGAAAGCAGGACUUCCAAGAGAGGCCAGCUGCCAAAAGCUCCUGCAUAGACUCAGUGACCAGACCUCUGGAAGAAAAUGGGAAACGGAAGUCAUGUAUUUUGAGCUGUAAAUGCCACGUGAGCUUUUUAAGGGAAUCUACGCACUCUGUUCCUGUUCCAUAUGAAGCGGCAUAUGAGGAUUUGAAAAACCGGUAAUGCCAGUGCUGAACCUUCCGAUGAGGCUACAGAAAUCCCACCCAGCCCGACAGCCAGAGCUCCCACUGAUAUGUUCUGGUGGCAAGGGGCCCAAGCUGAAUCCUGAUGCAGAAGUUUUCCUGCAGGGACCCUGACAGCCCACAGCAGAAGCUCAGCAAACCAAGGCCUCAGUGUUCCUACCUGUGGCACCAGGAAAUGGCUGAAUAAGACAUGUCAGGGAACGAGAAGCCAGUGAAAGGGACUUUUGGUGACAUCCCCCCUGUUUAAUGAAGCUUGGAGUUCUGGGCAACUGCAACUGUUAGUUGGCUCUUGCCGUAAUUGAUGGACACUGCCAGUUGCUUAGACAGAUGGGAAUUAAUGCUGGUGUUCCCAUUAGAACUUGCCAUCACAAUCAUGUUGGCGUUAGUCUCCUGCACAGAGUUGAUGUGUGUAAGCCAACGUGUGUGGAAGGAGCGAACACAGGUCAUACCUACGGUCCUUCCUUCCAAGGCAUUGAAGCCACCCAUCCAACACAAAGCUGAUGAACUGCUUGCCAGCAGCUUACAGAACACUUCACAAUGGUAAGGAAAAGACUUCUUUCCUUGAUGUUCAGAGGUUGCAGCGAGCCGGACUGUCAUCGCCGGAGGCAUCUGUGAGCUGUAUUCGGAGGCUCCUGAGCCCCCGUUUGGGACGGGGAGGGUCUGAGUGGGCACAUCUGAGCGCAUCCUCUGAACUCCAGUACUCGCAGCACAGGCACCACCCUAUGCUGCCAUGGCCUCAGAACUGACCAGCAGCUUUGUCUGUUCCUCCUCUCGCUCCCAUCAGUGUUCACAGAGGGAUGAGUCCCGAAGGCUCCUUUAAAGAGAGCAGCAGACUCAACUGCACCAAGAGAGGCAGUGCCGAGAGCAGCAGUGCCAAGAGCAGCUGCCUACAUAGUUUGGAAAAUAUACCUGUUUCUCCUGACACCAGCACAACAUCCUCUCUUCAGCAGGAUGAUCCCUCCCCCUUCCACUGACUGACAGCAAACUUCUCAACUUCUAAGAGAGCCACUCCUGCUGGGAUGGGCACCUCUGGGGCCACCAGGCCGGACCCUCCCGAGGGCAGCCUCAGCCCAGGUCACAGGGUGAGGCCAUGAUUCCACUGACCAGGGGCAUCUCUCCGGAGGAAGCACUGCUAUCCACAUAGCUCAGAUGCAAGCUUCUUUUGGCCCUUCAGCACAAAAGAACUCCAGUAAGUUCAUGAUUGAUAACUGUGUUAAUCUCUUGCCUGUCACUCACUGUUUUAACUAAAGGGGCAGGUGUGUCUUCCCCAAAAUAGGCCUUUUUCCCUUAAGGGAAGCCACAGGAGAAAUAUUUUCUGGAAUUCAGUGCAGUGCUUCACUCAGCAGGAUGCAUCACUUUGUGCUGGGGACCAGUCCUGAACUCUGGCUGAACAGGGCCGACUGAAAGUAAUACUCUUACAGGUACUUUCCUCUCUAACUGUGAACUGAAGAAUUUUAACAGUAAUACAGGUCAUACUAUUACACUGUUCUGGAAGUAUAAGAGACAUUUUUGUGCCGUUUUAGCUCUCCAGUCUAUACAAACAAAUUCCCACUUAACCAAUGGCAGGGGCAAUAUUUUAGCAGGAAACAUUUAAGGAAAAGUGGUGCUCCAGCUUCCUUCUCAUACUUAGCUUUGCAUCUCCUUGCAAUUGCAGCAGUUCAGAAGAUCCAAUCGACUUGGCUAAGUGCUACUGAAGUUUCUUUUUUAAAACCCUCAGUUGACAAUUUCUUGAGCAUAAUUUCCCCUUUUUGCUGAAUACACAACACCAAACUACCACUGAACAAGAAGUGAACUGAUUCUUCCACUGUAACAUCAGUUACUGUUGGGGCACUUGGAUUUUCAGUCUGGGAAGUGUACAAUACCUGUUAGCAGCCACAGUUAUCUUUCUCUGAGAUUACCUGAUAUGAACAUACUAAGUUCACUUGUUAUUUCUCUGUGCAUUUCACCAUUUUGCAGUGAUUAAAAAGGAAACCAGAGGAGGAAAUGCAGAAGAACCACAAAGGGACCGAUGACGUGGCCCCACCUCAGAGGACUUAGCACUGUCAAUGCGUCUCACACUGUCUCACACUGCAGGUUGUGCUGCUGGCAGUUACCAUGCAGAAUAUAAUGCUUUGUGUAAUGCAUAGGUGCUCAAAAAGUAACAGUUUAAAUAGACGUUUGUGUUAACUCUGUACCCAUUAAUAGCAAAGAACCUUUAAAGUAUGUAAGUACUAAUAGGCUUAAAACUAAAAACAAGUACAAGUGGUUUCCUUUUCAAUAGGCUGUUUUGUACAUGAAAGUACCAGCUGAAAGCAUUCCACACUUCUACUCUAUUCUGAUUCUUUUAGAAUGAGCUACAAUCUUUUUACCAGUUGCACCUAUUUGCACCCUGAAAGGGCAAAAUCUUCACUACAACUGCCACGGGCUAUUUGUGAACUUAAAAAGACAUUCAUGUGCAUAAAUGCACACAGGAUCAGAGUCUCAGCCACCAUCAUAUUGCAACAAGCUCGAAGAAUACAAAAGCCUGAUCAUCUUUUGUGCUAAACUAUCAGUUGGAAAAUAAACACACGGACUUAGAGGAAAGACCAGAACCCUGGGGCUGAUGCUGUGACUCCGUGCGAGGCUGUGUUCCCAGGCAGCCCUAGACUCCUGGGAAGAGGGGUUCAGUACAGACCCUUAGACACCGAACUGGUUUAUGACAGUACCCCAGACUGCUGUGCUUAGUCUUCUUUGCCCCUUCAAUAAAAAAAAGGAAGAAAGUCUACCUAGUAGCAUGGACGCAGGGUAAUGCAUCAUUUAUAAAUUACCUAGUUAGUGCAGAAAACAACACAUGGCUCUGCAGCCGAAAUCUCCUGCUGCGGACUCACUCCGUUUGAUGGGAGCCCUUCAAAAGCAUUGGUGGCUUAAUGGAGGCGGUUUGAGGGGACCUCGCUCCUUACCUGCUGUCCCUGUGCUUCUCCGGGAGCUCGGCGGCAGCUGCCGCGGCGUGCAGCUGUCUCUGAAGUGGCUGUGUGUCCUCAGCCCCCAGCACAGGCAGCCUGCCUUGGAUCUGUGUUUGUGCCUGAGGCGAGCUGGGGAGCGCAGCUGUGUCCACCCCGCGCUACCUUUGGUGUUGCGGCCCCUGGGCCCCACGCCGCCCCGACCUGCCCCACGCGCUCCUGCAGCUGCUGCUGCCCGCGCUCCAACGGCGCCGGGCCCGCCACAGCUGUGCCCACAGCCUGCCCGCUAACACCUGUGCCGUGCCUGCUUCAAACAGCCGUGGCUCGCAGGACUUCAGCCACCGUCAGAGCCUCCCAGAGCAGCCCGUGCUCUUGGCCACCCUCGGCACCGCCGGGCAUGUGGCACCUAUGGGACAGGACAGGGAGGCAGGAACAGCUUGCUCUGCUUUGAUACUUCAUGCCUAAAUUUCAACUGCUUGAUCAAGGAUUCAAAUUCAGCAGUGAAUUCUUCUACAAAUGGAAUUACUGAGUUCUUAAACAGUAAAAGAAGGGACAUUAAAUUGAACAACUCCAUAGCUGCUGUUUCCAAGCACCAAACUUCAUACCAGGAAAAUAAUCAAAAUUCUCAUUACCUCCCAUUCUACCACAGUGCCCAGACCUGCCCAGCCCAGCUGUCCCUUGCCCCCCCCGGCGCCACACACCAACCUCAUCUCCUUGCUGGGGUCGCAUCAGCGAGACUCUGUCAUACUGCCGCCGGAGCAGCGCCCACAGCGCGUCGAGCCGGCCCUGCGGAGACAGCACGGGCGUCUGUCAGCGGCGAGCACACCUCACCUGCACCAGGACCGUCCACAGGGAUCCCAGGGACAUCGACUGCCAGGACACAGCCGGAUCAGCACACUGUAAGCCUGAGCUGUGUCACCCACAGCAUGCUGCGGGGCUGCUCCUGCCCACCUGCAGUGCCAGGAAGGGCACUCGCCUAAUGCACCUGCUCCCUGCUCGGAGCCAUCCAGGACUUGUGCUUGGUCUGCCAUGGCAUGGGCUCGAUUGCCACAUGACCUUGUAGAGUUUAUCCCACAUGUGUGUGUUUGUUUUACAGCACAUACUCGGGGACUGUUGUGCAGGACACACACACCAGCUCUGCUGCGGGUCAGGAACAUCCUGUUCCACAUGGAUGGUUCCAGAGCUUGCCUGUGUGUCUGGACAACAUGGCUUCAAGGCUUGUUGGGCGUCAGAAAGGACUGAAAGGGAGUUGGGAAGACAGACGUAUCCCUGCUUCCAGCUACACCAGUGUGUUCUCUGCUCUUGCCUCUUAAAGCAAGGUAUUUACAGACGCACCCUCCGUAUGUCAGAAGCACUUGUGACGGGUUUGCAGGUGGCUCAGGGCACUGUUAUUAUGAGCCAGGAAAAACGAUUCCCUUUCUGUCAGAUUUCUUGCAUUAUAUUGUUCUAUGUAAUUUUUUGCUUUCCUUGGUUUGUAAUGAGUAUGUGUGUUUAAAACUUUGUGUUAACAGCUAUAAAUUGUGUAGUUUUGGGCUUAAUUAGCUCUACUUUGAGAUAGACCAAAUGCCAAUGAAGCCCCCGUAGAUUUUAAUGCUCUCACUGUACAGUAUGUCCCUUUCUGGGGGAAGGCAAACGGAAUGUGGCAGUAAUGAUCAAGUACUGCAUUUAGGGCUAAAAACUGCUCCUGCCAUUCAUGCUGAGUAGGUGUUCCCUUUGAGAAUAGCACAUCACACUUGAAUGGGAACACUUGGAAUAUACUGUGCAGUUCAGCCUGCGUAAGGCAGGUAAAACAGACAGAAUCCAGCCUUUAUAAUAAAUCAUACCAAGAACUGAAAAAAUUACCUUGAUUGGCGUGUACCACUUCUGCUGCAUGGCUGGUGAGGUAGGCUUUGGUUUAGGUGGUUUAGGGUGAAAAGGUUCUUCUGGUUCUUCUGGGAGUUUCACCACAGCAUUCUUUGCUUUUUCCAACCUGGCCCCUUCUUCCGUGGAGCCCUUGUCACCCCAGCGCACCUGAGGAAAGGCAGAGUUCAGGUGUGAGUGCACUGCAUGCACAGGGCAGGGAAAUGCUGCAAGUAACAGGGGGAUAAAUUUGGAAGAAGUUCUGGAUAAACAGGAGGAGAGGUACUGAGGAAAACAUUACCUCUUCAUUAUUCUUAGUUAAAUGUAUUUGUAAAUGAGUCUCUCAGUGGUGAAAAGUCAAGAGAAAUACCGAAAGAAAAUUCCACCAUGCCUCACUCCGGCUGUACAGGAGAAGGGGAAUCUGGGAAGCCUUUUUAAGGUUUCCUAAUCCAGAGUGUUUGUUGAGAACCCCAGCAUAGAUCAAAGAUGAUGCUUGGGCACGUUUGAGUAGAAGCUGCUUGAACCCACUGAGAUUUCCACGUUAUUCUGCAGGAACACACAUACUGGAGAAAUGCAGGGAAGCUGCCAGAGCGAUCAAGUUGCUGGAGGAACAGCAGAAGAACAGAGGACAGAGAAGCAGUGAAAACCAGUCAACUGUGUUGCCACACAGACUGCAAACAGGGAAGAGAUGUCAUGACUAGUGCAGCAAUUUUGUCACUGGCCACAGCAAAGAAACCACCUCUAACUGCCAGGAGUUUCCAGAUUACUUAGCAGAAAUCAAUUAUUUAAUUAGUGAAACAUUCCUGAGAGCCAGACUGGAAUUACUACCCUAACUUUACGUGAAAUGGCAACACAGAGGAAUCGUGGCAGAGAUCCUGAGAGAUACCUGGGUGCUGAGCAGGAUUUUCCAAGUCAGUUAAGAGACUGCAAAAGGAAACCAGGCACUGCCAGGGAAGCAGACCCAGAUCAAGGGAAGAAGAGGUCCUGCCUGGCCCUAAUGCUGCACGUCUCCUUGAGGACACUUCCCUGAAGCCCAGGACUACAGAGCCAAAAGGGGCCCUUCCAGCUGAUGUCCGAGCCUCAGGGGCAGAAGGGAGGGGCAAGAACAGAGGCGCACAGCACAAGAACCCAAGGAACAGCCAGCAAAACCAAAGAAAGGCAAGGCUCAUGAUCUAAAGUGAGAGCAAAGUGACUGACAGAACCCUCCCUAUAUUUCUGAUGUUGGGCCUGUGCCGGGGAGAAGAAGACAUAAGAGAGGCUUUUUAUUACAGAAGAGGUCAUUGUUCUUGCCUCAGGAACCCCAGACUGUGAGGGUACAGAUGGAGGCUGAGGACUUCCUGCCCUCAGACAGCCUGGGGCCCCACAGAUCCGCUGGAUUAUGGGACCUGCACACGGUCAGGUUUCUGAUCUGCAAGCAGUAGCAAUCCUGUUGAAGAACUGCAGGCUGACGAGCAGAAGGGACUGUUCGCCAUGCUCCACGCCUGAUGGGAAAGCUGCUCCCAAGUCACACUUCAGAUGAGACACAUUUAAAGGCACACAGUGCCCGUGCACAGCACGUGUUAAACACUGGGGGCUUGUGUCUCCCUGCACAAAUCCCAACUGUCCUACCCACGUAAUGGAGAGCAGAAAUGUGACACUAGAAAAUUGUAUUAAAUAAGGCAUAAAGGUACGAAGUUCAAACAGUCACUCUCUGCACAAGUAUGUGAUUUCUUCCAGAAGCAGUUUUAACUCUUUUCUAUAACCUGUGAUCAGAUUCAGCAGGAUGUUCACCCUGCCUUACCCUCAGGUGUAACUGGGGUACUCUGGUCUGUGCUUGGACUGGCUGUCUCCCCAGAUUAACGGAGUUAAGAGCCUACACUCGUUACUCAGGCUCCAGAGUUACGGAGCAUCAGUACCCUCCUGUAGGAUUGUAACCCUCCCUCCACGCCCAGGCUGAAGUCCCACGGUUCUGCCUACUCUGCUCCCCCCCAUCCUACUCAGGGAAGCCAUCCUGGAAUGGGACUCCAGGUGGCUGUGUCACACCUGCCCCUUGGGACAUGGUUAUAUUUACAGUGAGCGUGUCUCCAAGGGCAGGGAAGCCUCCCAGUAUUUUGAAGGCCACAGCUUUCCACAGGGAAGUGCAAUCAGAGAUUCCCCGCAGUGAGAGGUCCUGCAAUGGCAAAGCCCAAAGGGAAAUGAGAUUUGGGAAUUUUACACAGGAUUGUGGUCGUCUUUUACUUACACACUCCGAAGCGGUGAUGGUUAACGAGCUGGACAUGAAAGACUGGCCUUCCUUCAAACUCACCAAAACCUCCAGGGUUCUGCAAAGAGAGAGAGAAAAAACAUGAGCAACCAUGUAACAGUCAGGAAAGGCUCACACCUGCUCCAGAGGCUCCUGUAUCUACAGCCUCUGCUCCACAGAGAGUGUCCCCAGAUGGGAAAUGGAGGCCUGUGCUCACUCUUGUUUGGGAGUAAGUUUGGUCACCUUGACGGAGCUACCUGAGUAGAGAUUACCCAUUCUCUUUUCCAUGCAGCAUAAAAGACUGGCAAAAGUUUUACAUAAAAUAAAUUGAAGUUCAGCUGUAAAAUUAACAUUGUUUUCUCUGUUCCAUAACCAUCUUUUUAGUCACAUGCAGACAUUAUGGAUAAAAAUGUCGGAUAAUUAUAAAUGGUCAGGACUUGCUAUAAAUAGCCCCAAACACUGCAUACAAAUGGUACGUGGUUUACAUUUUACAAAUUAACCCUACAAGAAAACAACACAUGGUGGAUGUUAAACAGAAGAAGACUCUUCUCUGGCUUGGAUUCCCAGGAUUCAGACAGUUUAUAUUAUGCAUAGAUGUAAUUAAAUAAAAAUAUAGAUAUCCAUGAACUAAAAUGAUUAAUCAUUUAUACCAUUCUUACAUGUCAUGAGUUUUUAUUCUGGCACAAACACUUUAGUCAAUAUGGAGUUCAAAGCCAUUUUAACUAAUUUGGCUAAUUUCUUCUUCAUUGGUAGCAAAAAUGAAGUGAGUUGCUUCGACUAAACUAAUUCUUAAAUUAUCUGUGCCAUAAAUAAUUGAUCCAACAGAAAGAAUAACUCUAAUUUCUUUCUAAUUAUUACUGGAAUAAGUGAAUCAGAACAGAUAAAAAUAAAAAAAAAAUAAAAUUUCUU